GAUGAACGCUGGCGGCGUGCUUAACACAUGCAAGUCGAACGGGAAAUAUUUCAUUGAGACUUCGGUGGAUUUGAUUUAUUUCUAGUGGCGGACGGGUGAGUAACGCGUGGGUAACCUGCCUUAUACAGGGGGAUAACAGUCAGAAAUGGCUGCUAAUACCGCAUAAGCGCACAGAGCUGCAUGGCUCAGUGUGAAAAACUCCGGUGGUAUAAGAUGGACCCGCGUUGGAUUAGCUAGUUGGUGGGGUAACGGCCCACCAAGGCGACGAUCCAUAGCCGGCCUGAGAGGGUGAACGGCCACAUUGGGACUGAGACACGGACCAGACUCCUACGGGAGGCAGCAGUGGGGAAUAUUGCACAAUGGGGGAAACCCUGAUGCAGCGACGCCGCGUGAAGGAAGAAGUAUCUCGGUAUGUAAACUUCUAUCAGCAGGGAAGAUAGUGACGGUACCUGACUAAGAAGCCCCGGCUAACUACGUG
rnacentral:rRNA from 1 species